AGAAGUGCAUUGGCAAGGCAGGGAGAGAGAGGGAAGCAGGAGGUGAGACCCACUGGGUGUGUGUCAGUCACUGAUGCUCCUGUUUCAAUUCCAACAAGAAGAAUUGGGUCCAAAUUCUCUGGAUCAACCAGAUUGCCCCCUCGAAGGCUGCCAGUAGAAUAAAAAGCCAAAAGGAGCUGCACUGUUGGAGGGGGCUGUUGAUAUUUUGUCUCUUUUGUAGACAGAGCACUACAUCAGUGUUUUGCACAACGUUGUAAGAGUAAAUCUAACUGUCUGAGAUGCUUAAGAUGCUUUGAUCUAGAACACUAAAUCAUGGAGGGACAUGAUUUUGAAUCAUUCUGUUGCUAGUUCCCUCAUUUUCCAGAAGCCUCUGUGUGCUCAGAGUGCUGCAGAGCAAAGCCAGCUCUGCUCCAGGUGAUUCCAGAGCUGAGGUGGAACAGCAGCCAUGGGACCAACAGCUGAAGAGCCAGUCUGAGGGAAACAUAGCAUCUCUUUAGACUAGCCAUGCUCUGGACUGCAUUUAACCCUUGGGAGGGAUGAGGAGGGAUUCCCAUGUGUCAGACAGCUUUGCAUCAAUUUUACUGCUUUUUUAUUUUUUUGGUUUGGUUUUUUUUUUUUUUUUUUUUUUUUUUUUUUUGUCUUGUUUUGUACCUUCCCCUUUCUUUAAGAGCUGCUGCCCUGGCACAGGAGGAGGGAUCUUGGCAUCUGUCUCUUUGCAGAGUGACUCUGCAUGGUGGGGAGCUGUGGGCACGAGGCUUUGGGAAAUGCUGCACCUUGUGGGGCACCUGCUUGGGUUGGCCUGAGGAUUGGCUCAGGGAGGGGAGGGAAGGGCUGAGCUUUGCUCAGUGGCUCUUGUUGAGUUGUGAAACUCCUCCUGGACUGGGUCAGAGCUGUACCUGUCCCCUGGAGCUGUGUGUGGCUGUACCAUGGGUGAGAAGAUUGCAGCGUUAUCAGCACGUGCUUUCCUUAGUGAGCAGCUGCUCGUGUGCCUCCAGCUUGGCCAGUGCAGUGUUCCUGCACAACUGGUUCCUGUCUCUGUUGGCUGGCAAAUGCAAAAGUGCCAAACCUUCAAACCAAAUUUGCCUGUAUCAACCUUUCUGAAAGUGAGGCCUGUCAGAGUUCUCUGCAGGCUGAGAGUGACUUUCAGAAGAAAGGUAAAAAUUGGGUUGUUGUAGGGAAUCCAGAGCCUGAGGAGUUGGCUCUCCUUGCUAACCUCUGCUCCUUGUGCACUUUUAACCUUUGUUCUGUCGAAGAAACCAACAGACUUGGAACUAGCUUGAAACUUGAAGCCAGUGAGCAGAGGAGCAUCCCUUUUCCUUCACCAUCCCCUGUGGAUUGGCUACCUGGUGAGCAAAAGCCCCUUCCAGCUGCAGCGUGUCAGCUCCUGCCCUCCCUCCCUCCCUUCUCCUCCACUUGGAUUCUUUGGUCUCUUGUUGUUGCUUCCUAGCAAUGUUGGCCUUGCGUUCAACUAUGGUUUUUCUUCAUGUGUUUUAUUGGUUUAAAAAAAAAAAAAGACAAAAAUACUUAAAAAAACAAACAAACAUUUAAAAAAGACAAAAAAAAAAAAAGUACUUCCAGAGUGUGCUGACCAUUGUAUUGUCCUGUACAGAGCCCAGGUCGUUAGAGUCCAGCAGAGAUAAAGUGUGUUAUGCAGCACCCAGUUUUUUAAGAGUAUGGUUUGUGCCAAUGCCCCUUCUUUUAGUAGUGCCAGAGACUCUUUACAAGUGCCAAUGUGGUGGAAAUUAUUUGGUUAUACUUGUAUAUUAUAGGAUCCUGAUUUAAGACAAUUUAAACAUUAUCCUAUUUAAAAAGAAUACUAUAUAAAAUGCUGUUUUUAAACCUUGUCAUUUGCAAUGCAUGUAUUGUUGUGCGUGUUGGGGGGCGGGGAGGGAAGAGGGUAGGGGAAAGGAGUUUCUGAAUAAGAUGCCCAGUGUCAGGAUCUAUUCAGACUCCAAACUGUCUCAUUCCAGUCCAGGAGUGGGAUUGUUUCUUGGAAUGAUCCCACUCUGACUGCUGGGCAACUCACGCUUAUUACAGAAAUAUCUGAUGGAAAUUGAUUUUCAUAUCUUUCUCCUGAAAUAAACUCUCUGUUUGAAAUUGGAAUAAAUUUUGU
rnacentral:lncRNA from 1 species